rnacentral:rRNA from 1 species
UACGUAGGGAGCAAGCGUUGUUCGGAAUUACUGGGCAUAAAGCGCGCGUAGGCGGCUGGGUCCGUCCGAUGUGAAAGCCCCCGGCUCAACCGGGGAAGUGCAUCGGAUACAGCCCGGCUUGAGGACGGUUGGGGUGAGUGGAACUCCUGGUGGAGCGGUGAAAUGCGUAGAUAUCAGGAGGAACACCGGUGGCGAAAGCGGCUCACUGGACCGUUACUGACGCUGAGGUGCGAAAGCUAGGGGAGCAAACGGG